GGUUUGAUUCUGGCUCAGAUUGAACGCGGCGGGAUAACUUUACGCUGAAGUCGAACGGCAGCACGGACUUCGUGCAGGUGGCGAGUGGCGGACAGGUGAGUAAUGUAUCGGAACGUGCUGUCCAGCGGGGAUAACUACGCGGCGUAGCUAAUACGCUACGCCCUUCGGGGGAAAGCGGGGGACCUUCGGGCCUCACCUGACCAGAGCGGCCGAUAUCGGAUUAGCUGGUUGGUGGAGUAACGGCUCACCAGGCGACGAUCCGUAGCUGGUUGAGAAGGACGACCAGCUACGCCGGACUGGGGAAUACAGCCCAGACUCCUACGGGAGGCAGCGGUGAAUUUUGGACAAUGGGGGAAACCCUGAUCCAGCCAUCCCGUGUGCGAUGAAGGCCUUCGGGUUGUAAAGCACUUUUGGCAGGAAAGAAACGGCACGGGAUAAUACACCCGUGCAACUGACGAACCUGCAAGAUAAAGCACCGGCUAACUACGUGCCAACAGCCGCGGUAACCACGUAGGUGCAAGCGUUAAUCGGAAUUACUGGGCGUAAAGCGUGCAGGCAGUUCAGAAGAAAAGAUGUAAUCCCAGAGCUUAACUUUGGAACUCAUUUUUAACUACCGAGCUAGAGUGUGUCAGAGGGAGGUGGAAUUCCGCGUGUAGUGAAAUGCGUAGAUAUGCGGAGGAACCGCAAAUGUGAGGCAGCCUCCUGGGAUAACACUGACGCUCAUGCACAAGCGUGCAGGGGAGCAAACGGAUUGAUACCUGGUAGUCGCCCUAAACGAUGUCAACUAGCUGUUGGGGCCUUCCGGGCCUUGGUAGCGCAACUAACGCGUGAAGUUGACCGCCUGGGGAAGUACGGUCGCAAGAUUAAAACUCCGAAGAAAAUUGACGGGGACCCGCACAAGCGGUGGAUGAUGUGGAUUAAUUCGAUGCAACGCGAAAAACCCCUACCGCGGCUGUGUCACCGGAAUCCCGAAAGUUUGGGAGUGCUCGCAAGAGAACCGGAACACAGGUGCUGUAAGCUGUCGUCAGCUCGUGUCGUGAGAUGUUGAUUCAGAAUCCCGCAACAGCGCAAUACCCUGCGAGCUAGUUGCUACGAAGGGCACUCUAAUGAGACUGCCGGUGACAAACCGGAGGAAGGUGGGGAUGACGUCAGGUCUCCAUGGCCCUUAUGGUGGGCUUCACACGUCAUACAAUGGUCGGGACAGAGGGUCGCCAACCUACCGAGGGGAGCCAAUCCCAGAAACUGAUCGUAGUCGGAUCGCAGUCUGCAAUAAACUGCGUGAAGUCAGAAUCGCUAGUAAUCGCGGAUCAGCAUGUCGCGGUCGAAUGCGUUCCCGGUCUUACGCCCGUCACACCAUGGGAGUGGUUUUACAAGUAGGUCCCAGCUAACAGCAAGGAGGCGAGUUACAGUAAGGAUUCGCGGCUGGGGUGAAGUCGUAACAAGGUAA
rnacentral:rRNA from 1 species